AUAAUGUUGUAGUUUGUUAUCGUUAAAGGAUCGGCCUUCUUAGAGUUUCAAAGGGUUCACGCAACUCUGAUAAAGCCUAUACGGAGAAGGCAAGACGUGAUGUGGUGGCAAAGGAUCAGUCGAUCGCCCGCUUUAGGGUUUGUGCUCGGUGGGAAGCUCCUCAGUUCUUGUUAUAUUCUUUGUAGUGAAGCGCAUUCUAAGCCACUCCAUUAAUAAUUUUAAUUAUGGUUUUGAUCUUCUUGUCUUCUUAGCUUGAAUCCUUAAGGCCGGAAGCUCGCCUAUCUUAUUAAGCGCUUCGUUGACAAUGCGAGCUGCGUAGUGGGUUCUACCUAACAAACUUUUUUGAUCUCUAGAAUGGGUAUCGGGGGUACAGUUUUAAGGAAAAAACCUGUAACCAAACUUAGAAACCCCCUUAGUUUUGUUGGAGUUACAAAUGUUGUUGUUACUGCCUUUUUUUUGGUCGUUGUAUCAGCUGUAUGGUCUUAACGCAUAUAGCGAGUGACUGACGGGAUUUUAAAACAAUGCAUGCAAGGUCCGAUGGCCAUCGCUGACGUAGUGUGAAGUGAUGGUGCGGUUCUGUGCGCUUUGACCGAAGCUCUGGCAGCGGUAGACUGCCCUAUACAAUCGUAGUUUUAUGCUUACAGGCAGGUGGCACACUGGAUGCCAUGCGAAGUCGCUAAAGGUCUCAUUCUGGGCUAUGCUUAACGUAUCUUUAACAACGGGGACAUUGUGAGACGCGCUAUGGGAAAGGGAUGAGAAUCUUUGGUCCAAAGGCCGAACCUAGAGAUCUCUGAGGAAGGCAUUAAGAGGCUUGUCCAAGAAGGUUAAUAGUUUAGAAGAGCACCACACCGCGAGCGGUAAUCAAUUCCACAAGCAUAGACUACUUCGCCUUGUCGAUGAAAACAGGAGGCAUCACCUCAACAUUACUUGGUUUUGAUGGCUGUACUAGACGUUUUUUUUUUAAGUUUCUUCGGUUUUUGCAUCUGUUUUCUCUUUGUCUCAGUUCAAAUAAAA